rnacentral:lncRNA from 1 species
AAGACCCUCCAGCGCCACUGGUCGAUGAGGUAACUGAAGGGAAUAAAGGCGAUCUUGUCGAGGGCCAUCUUCAUUAGAAAGUUGAUGUCAUACUCUGCCACGAGAAAGACAGAAAGAACACAGCCUCAGGUCUGACCUGAAGUCCUUCCUGUUGUAGAAGUCCCAGGCAGAGGCGUGGCACACCACCUCCCGUCCAUCCGUUGGUUUCUCCAGCAUUGACUCCGCCCAGAACUCAGGAGGCAUGGGUGAGAGCCCCAGCGAGGUGAAGAAUUCCUCUGAUACCCGGAACAUGUGUGUGGCGUUCCAGCCCUGGCCAGCAGGUAGGGAAACAAGGAUCCUUGACUAAGGGGCCACACAGGCUUCCAGGCUCCCAGACUCAUGUCCUCAGGUAUGGUUUACCACAAGGCUGCUGCUAACCCUGACCCUGCAGCCAAAGCCAUCGACUUGACCCCUAGCUCUGCUCUUUUCCAGUUUUCCGUCGGCUCUAAAUUCUUGGCUCUAAAUAAACCCCAGUGUCCGCUUCUCUAAAGCA